CCUACGGGAGGCAGCAGUGAGGAAUCUUGCGCAAUGGACGAAAGUCUGACGCAGCAACGCCGCGUGGGUGAUGAAGGCCUUCGGGUCGUAAAACCCUGUCAGGUGGGAAGAAAUGGUAACGGGUUAAUACCCCGCUAUCUUGACGGUACCACCAGAGGAAGCCCCGGCUAACUCCGUGCCAGCAGCCGCGGUAAU
rnacentral:rRNA from 1 species